GUGGGGAAUAUUGGACAAUGGGCGAAAGCCUGAUCCAGCCAUGCCGCGUGUGUGAAGAAGGUCUUCGGAUUGUAAAGCACUUUAAGUUGGGAGGAAGGGCAGUAAGUUAAUACCUUGCUGUUUUGACGUUACCGACAGAAUAAGCACCGGCUAACUUCGUGCCAGCAGCCGCGGUAAUACGACGGGUGCAAGCGUUAAUCGGAAUUACUGGGCGUAAAGCGCGCGUAGGUGGUGUUGUAAGUUGGAGGUGAAAUCCCCGGGCUCAACCUGGGAACUGCCUCCAAAACUGCAUGACUAGAGUACGGUAGAGGGUAGUGGAAUUUCCUGUGUAGCGGUGAAAUGCGUAGAUAUAGGAAGGAACACCAGUGGCGAAGGCGACUACCUGGACUGAUACUGACACUGAGGUGCGAAAGCGUGGGGAGCAAAAGGGAUUAGAUACCCUUGUAGUCC
rnacentral:rRNA from 1 species